UAAAUUUAACAAUACGUUUUCGAUUUUAGUUUAUUGUAAAAUGUCGUGAUUUACGAAGGUGCAUGACUUUGGGAAACAUAAACGUAACAAAUUAUGUGAAAAGUAAAUAUAAUUUUUCUAUAUGCCCCAUUGCGUUAUUUUUUUAUUUAUUCUUCUAAAUAUUGAUCUUAGUUUGCUUGCUGGGUGUAGCUGUCUGUCAAGAAGAUGCUCAUCAGAGAUUGAGGCGAGGAAUAAAGACCAUUACUGUUCCAAAACCCUAUCCGGUUUAUGUACCGAAACCGUACCCUGUGGUCAAAACUAUUCCAGUUAAAAUUCCAUACAAAGUCACCAUAUCCAAACCCUACCCCGUAGAAGUACUCAAACCGUAUCCAGUCCCAGUGACGAAAACCGUGCAAGUUCCAGUCACCAGAACCGUCCAGGUACCUGUCAAGGUGCCGAUCCACGUACCCGUUCCUGUGAAAGUACCCGUGGCGGUACCACAACCUUACCCUAUCACCAUCGAAAACCUGAAGGUCGUGAAGGAGUCGUACCCAGUUUACGUUGGAGGUGGCGGUGGUGGCCAUUCGUCCUCCUACGUCAUCGGAAGUGCCCACGGUGACAUCAAAGUGGGAAGUGGACAUGGUUGGUGGUAGUCUAUAUGCGUUAGGUUUGGAUAAGUCUAUUUGGUUAAUUUGUUUGUUGAUUAGUAGUAAGUGAAAUCUUAAAAUCUUGAUUGGCGUAAAUUCGUUUGAGAUUGAUGUUUU